AGAAUAAGCACCGGCUAACUNCGUGCCAGCAGCCGCGGUAAUACGNAGGGUGCAAGCGUUAAUCGGAAUUACUGGGCGUAAAGCGNGCGUAGGNGGUUNNUUAAGUCNGAUGUGAAAUCCCCGGGCUCAACCUGGGAACUGCAUUNGANACUGNCNGGCUAGAGUGCGGUAGAGGGGGGUGGAAUUCCANGUGUAGCGGUGAAAUGCGUAGAUAUNGGGAGGAACACCGAUGGCGAAGGCAGCCCCCUGGACCGAGACUGACGCUCAGGCGCGAAAGCGUGGGGAGCAAACAGGAUUAGAU
rnacentral:rRNA from 1 species